AUUGAACGCUGGCGGCAUGCCUUACACAUGCAAGUCGAACGGUAACAGGUCUUCGGAUGCUGACGAGUGGCGAACGGGUGAGUAAUACAUCGGAACGUGCCCGAUCGUGGGGGAUAACGAAGCGAAAGCUUUGCUAAUACCGCAUACGAUCUACGGAUGAAAGCAGGGGACCGCAAGGCCUUGCGCGAACGGAGCGGCCGAUGGCAGAUUAGGUAGUUGGUGGGAUAAAAGCGUACCAAGCCGACGAUCUGUAGCUGGUCUAAGAGGACGACCAGCCACACUGGGACUGAGACACGGCCCAGACUCCUACGGGAGGCAGCAGUGGGGAAUUUUGGACAAUGGGCGAAAGCCUGAUCCAGCCAUGCCGCGUGCAGGAUGAAGGCCUUCGGGUUGUAAACUGCUUUUGUACGGAACGAAAAGACUCUGGUUAAUACCUGGGGUCCAUGACGGUACCGUAAGAAUAAGCACCGGCUAACUACGUGCCAGCCGCCGCGGUAA
rnacentral:rRNA from 1 species